AUUAAAUAUUUAUUAAAUAUAAAAUAACACACUUUUAACAUAUUUCAUAAUCGGAAUCAGCCUCCUCUUUUCCUUUGUUUCCAUGGUUUUUCUUUAAGAAGGUUCCUUAAUAGAGGAAAUUCAACCAACCCCAUUUCGGGAAUCUGGACCAUAUAUUAACUUCAAUUAUGGUAGGCCGAUGCGGAGAUGAGAAUUGAGCAGACUUCAUAUCAUAGUGGCUAGUGGUUCCUACUAAGCAAUCCACUGAAAGAGUGAGGGAGCACCAGAUAAUUAAUGAAGCUAGCAUAUGUAAAAUAUGGAAUAAAGUAUUCUAUUUUUUCCCAAACAUUUCACCUUCGCAAUAAUCUUCUUUCCCUUUUUUAUUUUUGGUGGGGGGUUGGGGGGGAGGAAGGGGAAACCUGCUCUUGACCAAGAAGAAAGUUACCUACCAGGAUCUAAAAAAUCUUGAAAGAAAAUAUAUAUGGAAUCUAUAUCUAAGAUCCCUCUCACAAUCAUAAGAUCGUAACUGUGUUUCUCCUUCCAAUUAUCUUAGUUUGAUCAGCUAAAGUUGAUUAAUUAGUCAACAAUGUGCUCAAUGAAUGAAUCAUAGCAUUUAUUAUUUUUGCACUUUUAUUGUUAACCCAUUUGACAAAUGGGAUUUCUUUUUUUGGCA
rnacentral:lncRNA from 1 species